rnacentral:rRNA from 1 species
UACGGGGGGGGCAAGCGUUGUUCGGAAUUACUGGGCGUAAAGGGCUCGUAGGUGGCCAACUAAGUCAGACGUGAAAUCCCACGGCUCACCCGUGGAACUGCUGGGCAUACUGGCGAUCUUGGGCCAACUAGGGGCAGCCGGAACAAGCGGUGGAGCGGUGAAAUGCGUAGAUAUCGCUUGGAACGCCGAAGGUGAAAACAGGCUGCUGGGGUUGUGCCGACGCUGAGACACGAAAGCCAGGGGAGCAAACGGG